GAUGAACGCUAGCGGCAGGCCUAAUACAUGCAAGCCGAACGGUAAUUCUGAUAGCAAUAUUGGAACUAGAGUGGCGUAAGGGUGCGUAACACGUAUGCAAUCUACCCGCAACAGGAGGAUAGCUCCCCGAAAGGGGAAGUUAACCCUCCAUGAGAUCACACGAGGGCAUCCGAGAGUGAUUAAAUUUGAGGAGGUUGUGGAUGAGCAUGCGACUGAUAGUCUAGUUGGCAGUGUAACGGACUACCAAGGCGAUGAUCAGGUAGGGGAACUGA
rnacentral:rRNA from 1 species